rnacentral:rRNA from 1 species
UACGAAGGGGGCGAGCGUUGUUCGGAUUUACUGGGCGUAAAGGGCGCGUAGGCGGCCCUCCUUGUCGCGUGUGAAAGCCCCGGGCUCAACCUGGGGAAUUGCGCGCGAAACGGGGGGGCUUGAGUUCGGGGAGAGGAGCGUGGAAUUCCCAGUGUAGAGGUGAAAUUCGUAGAUAUUGGGAAGAACACCCGUGGCUAAGGCGGCUCUCUAGUACGGUACUGACGCUGAGACGCGAAAGCGUGGGGAGCGAAACAGG